rnacentral:rRNA from 1 species
UACGGAGGGUGCGAGCGUUGUUCGGAAUUACUGGGCGUAAAGGGCGCGUAGGCGGCCAACUAAGUCGGACGUGAAAUCCCCUGGCUCAACCAGGGAACUGCGUCCGAUACUGAUUGGCUUGAAUCCGGGAGAGGGAUGUGGAAUUCCAGGUGUAGCGGUGAAAUGCGUAGAUAUCUGGAGGAACACCGGUGGCGAAGGCGGCAUCCUGGACCGGUAUUGACGCUGAGGCGCGAAAGCCAGGGGAGCAAACGGG